UGACGCAGCAACGCGCGUGGGGGAAGAAGGUCUUCGGGUUGUAACCCCUUUUCUCGGGGAAGAUAGUGACGGUACCCGAGGAAUAAGUCUCGGCUAACUACGUGCCAGCAGCCGCGGUAAGACGUAGGAGGCGAGCGUUAUCCGGAUUUACUGGGCGUAAAGGGCGUGUAGGCGGCUCUUCAAGUCUGUGGUGAAAUCUCCCGGCUCAACUGGGAGGGUGCCAGAGAAACUNGAGGGCUUGAGGGCAGCAGAGGGGGGUGGAAUUCCCGGUGUAGUGGUGAUAUGCGUAGAUAUCGGGAGGAACACCAGUGGCGAAGGCGGCCCCCUGGGCUGUUCCUGACGCUGAGGCGCGAAAGCGUGGGGAGCAAACAGGAUUAGAUACCCUGGUAGUCCACGCCGCAAACGAUGGACACUAGGUAUGGGGGUAUCGACCCCCUCCGUGCCGAAGCUUAACGCUUUAAGUGUCCCGCCUGG
rnacentral:rRNA from 2 species